rnacentral:rRNA from 1 species
CUCUUCCCAUUCCGAACAGAGAAGUUAAGCCCGUCAGCGCCGAUGGUACUGCUAAUUGUGGGAGAGUAGGUAGUCGCCGGCC